CCCGCACAAGCAGCGGAGCGUGUGGUUUAAUUCGAUGCUACACGAAGAACCUUACCAGGGUUUGACAUGCAAGUGGUAGGAACCGAAAGGCGACCGACCCUUCGGGGAGCUUGCACAGGUGCUGCAUGGCUGUCGUCAGCUCGUGUCGUGAGAUGUUCGGUUAAGUCCGCUAACGAGCGCAACCCUCGCUGUGUGUUACAAGUGUCACACGGUACUGCCGGUCUUAAGCCGGAGGAAGGUGGGGAUGACGUCAAGUCAGCAUGGCCUUUAUGUCCUGGGCUACACACACGCUACAAUGGCCAACACAAUAGGUUGCUAAGCCGCGAGGUGGAGCCAAUCCUCAAAGUUGGUCUCAGUUCAGAUUGCGGGCUGCAACCCGCCUGCAUGAAGAUGGAGUUGCUAGUAACCGCAGGUCAGCUAUACUGCGGUGAAUACGUUCCCGGGGCUU
rnacentral:rRNA from 1 species